rnacentral:tRNA from 1 species
GGACCCGUAGCUCAGCCAGGAUAGAGCACUGGCCUCCGGAGCCGGCGGUCCCGGGUUCAAAUCCCGGCGGGUCCG